UACGUAGGGUGCGAGCGUUGUCCGGAAUUACUGGGCGUAAAGGGCGCGUAGGCGGCGCCACAAGUCACUUGUGAAAACUCUGGGCUCAACCCAGAGCCUGCAGGCGAAACUGUGGUGCUGGAGUAUGGGAGAGGUGCGUGGAAUUCCCGGUGUAGCGGUGAAAUGCGUAGAUAUCGAGAGGAACACCUGUGGCGAAAGCGGCGCACUGGACCAUAACUGACGCUGAGGCGCGAAAGCUAGGGGAGCAAACAGG
rnacentral:rRNA from 1 species